GUGCCAGCCGCCGCGGUAAUACUAGGGGUGCAAGCGUUGUCCGGAAUUACUGGGCGUAAAGGGUGCGUAGGCGUCUUUGUAAGUUGAUUGUUAAAUCCACCGGCUUAACCGGUGUCCUGCAAUCAAAACUGCAGAGAUAGAGUAAGAGAGAGGAAAGUAGAAUUCCUGGUGUAGCGGUGACAUGCGUAGAUAUCAGGAGGAAUACCGAAGGCGAAGGCAGCUUUCUGGCUCUUAACUGACGCUGAGGCACGAAAGCGUGGGGAGCGAACAGGAUUAGAUACCCUGGUAGUCCACGCCGUAAACGAUGAGUACUGAACGUCGGAGGAUUCGACCCCUUCGGUGUUGUAGCUAACGCGAUAAGUACUCCGCCUGGGGACUACGGCCGCAAGGCUGAAACUUAAAUAAAUUGGCGG
rnacentral:rRNA from 1 species